GAUGAAGAACGUAGCGAAAUGCGAUAAGUAAUGUGAAUUGCAGAAUUCAGUGAAUCAUCGAAUCUUUGAACGCACAUUGCGCCCGCCAGUAUUCUGGCGGGCAUGCCUGUUCGAGCGUCAUUUCAACCAUCAAGCCCCAGGCUUGUGUUGGGGACCUGCGGCUGCCGCAGGCCCUGAAAACCAGUGGCGGGCUCGCUGUCACACCGGGCGUAGUAGAUUUUAUCUCGCUCUGGGCGUGCUGCGGGUUCCGGCCGUUAAAAAACCCUUUUAACCCAAGGUUGACCUCGGAUCAGGUAGGAAUACCCGCUGAACUUAAGCAUAUCAAUAAGUGGAGGA
rnacentral:misc_RNA from 1 species